GGGAACGUGGCUCAGUGGUGGAGCGCUUGCCUUGCAUGCAUGAGGCCCUGGGU
rnacentral:tRNA from 1 species